AUUGAACGCUGGCGGCAGGCCUAACACAUGCAAGUCGAGCGGAGCGGCGGACGGGAGAGUAAUGCCUAGGAAUCUGCCUGGUAGUGGGGGAUAACGUCCGGAAACGGGCGCUAAUACCGCAUACUAUCAGAUGAGCCUAGGUCGGAUUAGCUAGUUGGUGGGGUAAAGGCCUACCAAGGCGACGAACCGUAACUGGUCGGAGAGGAGGUUCAGUCACACUGGAACUGAGACACGGUCCAGACUCCUACGGUGGGCAGAAGUAGGGAAUAUUGGACAAUGGGCGAAAGCCUGAUCAAGCCAUGCCGGGUGUUUGAAGAAGGUCUUCGUAUUUAAAAGCACAUUAAGUUGGGAGGCGUUACCAACAGAAUAAGCACCGGCUAACUUCGUGCCAGCAGCGGCAGUAAUAC
rnacentral:rRNA from 1 species